UACCAGCACCCCGAGUGGUCGGGACGUUUAUUGGGCCUAAAGCAUCCGUAGCCGGUUCUACAAGUCUUCCGUUAAAUCCAACUGCUUAACAGGUGGGCUGCGGAAGAUACUAUAGAGCUAGGAGGCGGGAGAGGCAAGCGGUACUCAAUGGGUAGGGGUAAAAUCCGUUGAUCCAUUGAGGACCACCAGUGGCGAAGGCGGCUUGCCAGAACGCGCUCGACGGUGAGGGAUGAAAGCUGGGGGAGCAAACCGG
rnacentral:rRNA from 1 species